rnacentral:rRNA from 1 species
AACAAACGCUGGCGGCGUGCCUAACACAUGCAAGUCGUACGAGAAAGUCGGCUUCGGCCGAUGAGUACAGUGGCGCACGGGUGAGUAGCGCGUGGGUAAUCUGCCCCCCGGUCAGGAAUAACCCGCCGAAAGGCGGGCUAAUACCCGAUAACACUGACGCUCCGCGGAGCGUCUUUCAAAGGAGGCCUCUGUUUACAAGCUUUCGCUUCAGGAUGAGUCCGCGUACCAUUAGCUUGUUGGUGGGGUAAUGGCCUACCAAGGCUGCGAUGGUUAGCUGGUCUGAGAGGAUGAUCAGCCACACUGGAACUGAGACACGGUCCAGACUCCUACGGGAGGCAGCAGUGAGGAAUAUUGCGCAAUGGGGGCAACCCUGACGCAGCAACGCCGCGUGAAUGAGGAAGGUUUUCGGACCGUAAAGCUCUGUCGAGUGGGAAGAAGUGUAUCAUGGCUAAUAUCCGUGAUAUUUGACGGUACCGCUAGAGGAAGCACCGGCUAACC